rnacentral:rRNA from 1 species
UAGGGAAUCUUCCGCAAUGGACGCAAGUCUGACGGAGCAACGCCGCGUGAGUGAAGAAGGUUUUCGGAUCGUAAAACUCUGUUGUAAGAGAAGAACAAAUUGUAGAGUAACUGCUACAGUCUUGACGGUAUCUUACCAGAAAGCCACGGCUAACUACGUGCCAGCAGCCGCGGUAAUACGUAGGGGGCUAGCGUUAUCCGGAUUUACUGGGCGUAAAGGGUGCGUAGGUGGUCUUUCAAGUCGGUGGUUAAAGGCUACGGCUCAACCGUAGUUAGCCUCCGAAACUGGAAGACUUGAGUGCAGGAGAGGAAAGUGGAAUUCCCAGUGUAGCGGUGAAAUGCGUAGAUAUUGGGAGGAACACCAGUAGCGAAGGCGGCUUUCUGGACUGCAACUGACACUGAGGCACGAAAGCGUGGGUAGCAAACAGG